rnacentral:rRNA from 1 species
CUACGGGCUGCUGCAGUAGGGAAUUUUCCACAAUGGGCGAAAGCCUGAUGGAGCAACGCCGCGUGCAGGAUGAAGGCUUUCGGGUCGUAAACUGCUUUUAUGUGCGAAGAAUAUGACGGUAACACAUGAAUAAGGGUCGGCUAACUACGUGCCAGCAGCCGCGGUCAUACGUAGGACCCAAGCGUUAUCCGGAAUUACUGGGCGUAAAGAGUUGCGUAGGUGGCAUUAUAAGUGGAGCGUGAAAGCGUGCGGCUCAACCGCAUUACUGCGUUCCAAACUGUAAAGCUUGAGUAUGAUAGGGGUAACUGGAAUUUCUAGUGUAGGAGUGAAAUCCGUAGAUAUUAGAAGGAACACCGAUAGCGUAGGCAGGUUACUGGAUCAUUACUGACACUAAGGCACGAAAGCGUGGGGAGCAAACGGGAUUAGAUACCCCAGUAGUC